UUGGAUCGGAUGGGCAUGGAUCCUCACCCGUGUGAGAUGGAGUUAUGAAUCUGGAGAUGCAGAAUCGAAGACGAAUCAUCGAAGGAAAAGAGUAGGUUCUUCUUUGUUGUUCUUUUCCUCAAUUGUAUUGAUCUGGUUAGAGAAGGCUCUGGUUCAAUCACCAUACAAUCAAGACAAAUGCGUUCAGUGCGAGAAGGAGGAACUAAAAUCUGUUGAAUGCCUCCAACCUGCUUCCCGAUGCUGCAAAGAGAUUGCUGAUUUUGUGACUGCGAAUCCAGAUCCGUUAAUACCAAUAAAUCGAAAGAAACGACAAUCCUGUUGCUUUUGGAAAUGGCUCUGGACCUCUGGAUUUGCGAAAGCUCCUUCGUACCUGCGUUAGCUUCUGGUCUUCUAGUGCUGUUUCUGCAUUUGGAGGAUUUGCUUUAUGUGGUUAAAGCCAAACCCCAUGAUCGCAGGAUGAUGUGUGACUCACCGAUUGUGCAAACUAAGUUGAGCCAAAAUGAUUCUCUCUGUAAAUAUUCUCAUUCUAGCAUCUCAUGUGAUUCUGAAUUUCAGUCAGAGGUUGUGAAAGAUGACUCGUUGUCAAAGGUAAGUACUAGUGCACAUGUUCCAGGCAAAUGCUUUCAAAUUUCUAAAAUGUUCUGUUGGGAACCACGUGAAUUCGAUUGAUCUGGAAAUGAAUGAAUUUGUUCUAUUCAUUUGCAAGUGAAGUAUACUGUUAUUUAAUGAAGAUAUUUCCAGGUUAGUUUAGUAAAUUUAGGACAUGGACGUUCUCUUCUAGGAAUUUGCAUUCCAAAACCGCUCAGAAUUUGUAGAGCUGAAAUCUUUGGAAUUUGAGGAAAUCAUGUGGGUCGUAGCACGUUCUAGGAAAAUCUUUGUUGCUUAUGGAUUAUGCGUAACUUGGUCCAAAAUACUAACUACAUAUGACUUUAUUCUCAUUGUUUGUAGUAUGUUUGGUUUUUCUUUAGUGGUCAAACUACUGUUCCUAAAUUUGGUAUUUUGUUUGAUUUUUGGGUGAGUAAUCUUGAUGAAGGUAUUGAAUGACUUGGAUCCUGCAAUAAAAGUUCAUACCCGACAAGUUCCAGCUUGAACAGGAUGAAAAUCAAGUAUACCUCUACCGUUGCAUCUUUUGCUGUCUCCGAUGAAUUGUUACAACUUCCACUUAAAGGCUGCUGCAGUGUCAUCAGUUUAUCAAGUUCCUCCCUUAUGCUGCAGGCUUCAGCAUCUAUUCUGAGGGCAUAAGGUCAUAAAACCACGAGCAAAAAGAUUAGGCGAAAGGUUGAACAGAGCAUAUACCGCACUCAAAUAUCAAUGCAGACCAUUUAAGAAUCAAAACAUGUAGCUGGAAAUGUCAAGCAUUCAUUAAAAUGAGGUCAAAUAGAGUAUAUCCAAACAAAGUUAUUGAUAUACAAUAUAUUCCAUACUGAAGAACAUAAUAGUUAAACAGAGAAAAAGGCAAACCAAGAAAUUAGAGGUCUGGAAAGAGAAUUGUGAGUUAUUAUACUAAGAAUUGAUAAUCUAAAACACGAAUCAGUUACAUUCCUACUGAUGUCGCUAAAAGCAAGCGCAUAAUUUAACCCUGAAAUAUCGUUAGUAGUAUAAGCAAAUAGGGAUCGUUC